rnacentral:rRNA from 1 species
GAUGAACGCUGGCGGCGUGCCUAAUACAUGCAAGUCGAGCGAACAGAUGAGGAGCUUGCUCCUCUGACGUUAGCGGCGGACGGGUGAGUAACACGUGGAUAACCUACCUAUAAGACUGGGAUAACUUCGGGAAACCGGAGCUAAUACCGGAUAAUAUAUUGAACCGCAUGGUUCAAUAGUGAAAGACGGUUUUGCUGUCACUUAUAGGUGGAUCCGCGCCGCAUUAGCUAGUUGGUAAGGUAACGGCUUAACAAGGCAACGAUGCGUAGCCGACCUGAGAGGGUGAUCGGCCACACUGGAACUGAGACACGGUCCAGACUCCUACGGGAGGCAGCAGUAGGGAAUCUUCCGCAAAGGGCGAAAGCCUGACGGAGCAACGCCGCGUGAGUGAUGAAGGUCUUCGGAUCGUAAAACUCUGUUAUUAGGGAAGAACAAAUGUGUAAGUAACUAUGCACGUCUUGACGGUACCUAAUCAGAAAGCCACGGCUAACUACGUG